CAUUCUGUUGCGGACUUUGGUCAAAGAAAGAGAAAGAUGGAGUCCCCUAGAAAUGAAAAUAAGCUGAAUGGAAUUUCGUUUUCAAGGAAGAAGAGUCCGAAGCUUACUUAUGCCGGAGAGUUCUGAUGAAUCACCAAAGAAAAGAAAAACUCAAAGUUCUAAUAGUGGCCUGGGUGCAGUGUAUUCGAAUUAUCAACAGUGCUCCUCAAAUAAAGAAAAUAAAAGAAAAAGAUUUUACUUUCUAUGAGUACCCACAGCAUCUUCAAGCAGAACAAUGGAUAUUGAUCAGACCAGACAGUCUGGAGAAUUUACCAUGAAUAGAAGUAACAAAAGUGACAGCAACACAUUCGAUUGGUUUAAUGGAUAUUUUGGACAGGAGUAGCAGACUGGUACAUUGAUUCCAAAAUCUUGAACAAACAACAACUGAACACAUUCUUGUCUCUUUUAAGUGGGAUAAUGUUAAUCUUUACAAAAUGCCAGCACAAUUGAAAUUAAUAUGGGAUAGUUGAAAGAAGAAAUUUCAAAAUGAUACAUAUUAUCACAAUGUUGAAUUUAGACAAUCUCUAUUUUUGUGAAACAGUUUUUUUUAAACUUUAAAUACUGUGAUGAUCUACAAAACAUUAUUAAAAGAUGAACAUGUAAGUCUCAAGUGUGAUCCAGUUUUUAACCGCUUUUCGCUUGAAAAAAAAUCAAGCUUUUUUAAAUUUAUGAAGUGACAACAAUUGUUUUUACUGGAUUUACAUUGAAUAAAUAAUAUU